rnacentral:rRNA from 1 species
GAUGAACGCUGGCGGCGUGCCUAAUACAUGCAAGUCGAGCGAACGGACGAGAAGCUUGCUUCUCUGAUGUUAGCGGCGGACGGGCGAGUAACACGUGGAUAGCCUACCUAUAAGACUGGGAUAACUUCGGGAAACCGGAGCUAAUACCGGAUAAUAUUUUGAACCGCAUGGUUCAAAAGUGAAAGACGGUCUUGCUGUCACUUAUAGAUGGAUCCGCGCUGCAUUAGCUAGUUGGUAAGGUAACGGCUUACCAAGGCAACGAUGCAUAGCCGACCUGAGAGGGUGAUCGGCCACACUGGAACUGAGACACGGUCCAGACUCCUACGGGAGGCAGCAGUAGGGAAUCUUCCGCAAUGGGCGAAAGCCUGACGGAGCAACGCCGCGUGAGUGAUGAAGGUCUUCGGAUCGUAAAACUCUGUUAUUAGGGAAGAACAUAUGUGUAAGUAACUGUGCACAUCUUGACGGUACCUAAUCAGAAAGCCACGGCUAACUACGUG